rnacentral:rRNA from 1 species
AUGAGGCACGUUAUUAGCAAUGUUUCACAUUUUCUUACUUGCAAUACUAUGCUUGGCUGUUCAGGUCUUCCAAGACCUAAAUCAUCAGAAAUCCAGCACAUAAAACACCUUUUUUUAAACUUUAGUUACCCUGAUAUAAGCCUUCGUCCAAUUUUCUUAUACGGAGGGGUUAGAAAUAGUUACCUUGCUUGCUCAAAACUAAAUCUACUGAUAAAUGGAUUUUUUUUAAAACCACACAUGGUGUUUAGUGGAUCUCAUGGAUGGAUUGGGUUGUGGCAGCAGUUCUUGGGUGCAAUAUCUAUCUUGAUAAAGCGAUCAAUCAGGGCACAUUGGAGGCAGAAGAAGAGAAAACGUUUGGGGCAUCUGUGGUGUUGA